rnacentral:lncRNA from 10 species
CGCCUCUCCCGCCACACCUCCCUGCAAGCUGAGGGAGCCGGCUCCUGCCUUGGCCAGGCUAGAAAGGGGCUCCCACAGUGCAGGGGCGGGCUGAAGGGCUCCUCAAGUGCCACCAAAGUGGGAGCCCAGGCAGAGGAGGUGCCGAGAGCGAGCGAGGGCUGCGAGGACUGCCAGCAGCUGUCACCUCUCGUUACCAUCACUCCUAGUGACCAUUUCGGGUAAUCCACCUUGCCUCAUCAAACCAGAAAACAAUUCAAACCUGGCCUCCUUCUAACUGGAAGCCACAUUUUAAGAACUUAUUGUGAAGAACUGGAAAGCCUCCAAUAGGACAGAAGCUAAAAGCAGAAAUUAUAAAAGCUGUUACACCUACUCAGCUCUAUUACAUGUUGGAAAAACUGAACCAGAGAAACAAUUACAUACACUCUUGUCUUCUGGAAAAGCUGAAUUGGGUUUUGGUCUGAAUCAAUAGGACCCAUUAUACAGGCUGCCUUUCCAGCUCUCCAAUCAUACUUCCAAGAAAACUGCUCACUCUCAGAACCAAGGUUCAAGUUGUACAUUGGGAUUUGGGUAGAGGACGGGACCUGGCAUGGAGCAGCAUUCAAAAUAUUGGGUAGAAGGAAAAAGGAAGAAAGAAGGGAAGGACAGGGAAGCAAGGAAAUAAAGGAAAUCAGGCUAUAUAUACAGUGAUGCCCAUCUACCCCUGAGAUCUAAAAAUCUAAGAUGAAAACGAGCACACAGUCUUGGCAGCAUUGGGGUAACAGACUAUGAAAGAAGAAAUCAGAUUGGAAAAUUCAGUAUAUCAAUGAAGAAAAUAAUCACUCAAGGAGAGGAAUAAACAGCAAAACAAUCUAU